GGUACCGGAUUUGGCUUGGAACGGACUCAUAAUCCGUUGGUUGUGGGUUCAAAUCCUGCCGGGCCCACCA
rnacentral:tRNA from 1 species